GCAAAGGAAUGCAAGGGCUAACGGGUUCCCACGACGACAGAACAGGUGAUGUCACCGCCCACGUUGCGCCUCUAACGUCAGGCCUUGAGGAAGCCAGCUGCAGACGGCGCCCACGGAACCCUUUCCGCUCGGGUUCCGCUCAUCAAACCGCCAAGUUUGAUUACGCUCGCGAAUGGCUACAUUAUCACAACACCAACACCCAGCUGCGUGAAUGUGGCUCCGCCAGUCAAGCGCUAGCCCCGCCCCUUCCAGGUGCUGGCGCAUUGAUAAGGGGCAAACUGUCAACACAGCACCUGGCUCUUCAAAGUGCCCCUCUUUCUCCAUCUCUUUCCGAGAGGCUGCCACCUUAACAUCGCACUCGUCCGCAGGAAGUUUACCAAUCACUAACAGAAAAGGGACCCGCGCAACUCACCUAUUAUCACAAACCCGUCGGUUUCCUUCUCUGACGAGGACUUCUUAGAAUCCUUCCGAAGACCGAGAAAGCUCAACAUCUCGGCCCCGCGUCGCGCGCCCACUGCGUCUGGAAUGAACGUUUUUAAACAAAAAGUAAUUUUCAGUAUUAAACGCUGACUUUGCAACAAGUGAAAGCCGCAAGUCCGAUUCCUCUCGGCGGGGCACGUGAGCGAAAGAUCAGCUCACGCAAAUGUCACUGCUUUUCCGUGAAAUGUGUUAGCUUUACGUACAGCAGUAUGUAUCGCGUUUAGUUAUUAAGAGUAGACAACAAAAACGAAACAAAGACGUUUAAUAAUGUAAUGUCUACAAUAAAA